GACGAACGCUGGCGGCGUGCUUAACACAUGCAAGUCGAACGGAAAGGCCCUGCUUUUGUGGGUUGCUCGAGUGGCGAACGGGUGAGUAACACGUGAGUAACCUGCCCUUGACUUUGGGAUAACUUCAGGAAACUGGGGCUAAUACCGGAUAGGAGCUCCUGCUGCAUGGUGGGGGUUGGAAAGUUUCGGCGGUUGGGGAUGGACUCGCGGCUUAUCAGCUUGUUGGUGGGGUAGUGGCUUACCAAGGCUUUGACGGGUAGCCGGCCUGAGAGGGUGACCGGCCACAUUGGGACUGAGAUACGGCGCAGACUGCUACGGGAGGCAGCAGUGGGGAAUAUUGCACAAUGGGCGGAAGCCUGAUGAAGCAACGCCGCGUGCGGGAUGACGGCUUUCGGGUUGUAAACCGCUUUCGCCUGUGACGAAGCGUGAGUGACGGUAAUGGGUAAAGAAGCACCGGCUAACUACGUG
rnacentral:rRNA from 1 species